rnacentral:tRNA from 1 species
GCCGCAUCCGUGUGGUCUAGUGGCUAGGAUACCUGGCUUUCACCCAGGAGGCCCGGGUUCGAUUCCCGGUACCGGAA